rnacentral:rRNA from 1 species
UGCGUAGGCGGCUCUCUAAGUCGGAUGUGAAAACUCUGGGCUCAACCCAGAGCCUGCAUCCGAAACUGGAGAGCUAGGGUUCUGGAGGGGAAAGCGGAAUUCCUGGUGUAGCGGUGAAAUGCGUAGAUAUCAGGAGGAACACCGGUGGCGAAGGCGGCUUUCUGGACAGAUACCGACGCUGAGGCACGAAAGCUAGGGAGCAAACA